rnacentral:rRNA from 1 species
UACGUAGGGUCCGAGCGUUGUCCGGAAUUAUUGGGCGUAAAGGGCUCGUAGGCGGUUUGUCGCGUCGGGCGUGAAAACUCAGGGCUCAACCCUGAGCGUGCUUCCGAUACGGGCAGACUAGAGGUAUGCAGGGGAGAACGGAAUUCCUGGUGUAGCGGUGGAAUGCGCAGAUAUCAGGAGGAACACCGGUGGCGAAGGCGGUUCUCUGGGCAUGACCUGACGCUGAGGAGCGAAAGCAUGGGGAGCGAACAGG